AGCGUACACGGUGGAUGCCCUGGCAGUCAGAGGCGAUGAAGGACGUGCUAAUCUGCGAUAAGCGUCGGUAAGGUGAUAUGAACCGUUAUAACCGGCGAUUUCCGAAUGGGGAAACCCAGUGUGUUUCGACACACUAUCAUUAACUGAAUCCAUAGGUUAAUGAGGCGAACCGGGGGAACUGAAACAUCUAAGUACCCCGAGGAAAAGAAAUCAACCGAGAUUCCCCCAGUAGCGGCGAGCGAACGGGGAGCAGCCCAGAGCCUGAAUCAGUGUGUGUGUUAGUGGAAGCGUCUGGAAAGGCGCGCGAUACAGGGUGACAGCCCCGUACACAAAAAUGCACAUGCUGUGAGCUCGAUGAGUAGGGCGGGACACGUGGUAUCCUGUCUGAAUAUGGGGGGACCAUCCUCCAAGGCUAAAUACUCCUGACUGACCGAUAGUGAACCAGUACCGUGAGGGAAAGGCGAAAAGAACCCCGGCGAGGGGAGUGAAAAAGAACCUGAAACCGUGUACGUACAAGCAGUGGGAGCACGCUUAGGCGUGUGACUGCGUACCUUUUGUAUAAUGGGUCAGCGACUUAUAUUCUGUAGCAAGGUUAACCGAAUAGGGGAGCCGAAGGGAAACCGAGUCUUAACUGGGCGUUAAGUUGCAGGGUAUAGACCCGAAACCCGGUGAUCUAGCCAUGGGCAGGUUGAAGGUUGGGUAACACUAACUGGAGGACCGAACCGACUAAUGUUGAAAAAUUAGCGGAUGACUUGUGGCUGGGGGUGAAAGGCCAAUCAAACCGGGAGAUAGCUGGUUCUCCCCGAAAGCUAUUUAGGUAGCGCCUCGUGAAUUCAUCUCCGGGGGUAGAGCACUGUUUCGGCAAGGGGGUCAUCCCGACUUACCAACCCGAUGCAAACUGCGAAUACCGGAGAAUGUUAUCACGGGAGRCACACGGCGGGUGCUAACGUCCGUCGUGAAGAGGGAAACAACCCAGACCGCCAGCUAAGGUCCCAAAGUCAUGGUUAAGUGGGAAACGAUGUGGGAAGGCCCAGACAGCCAGGAUGUUGGCUUAGAAGCAGCCAUCAUUUAAAGAAAGCGUAAUAGCUCACUGGUCGAGUCGGCCUGCGCGGAAGAUGUAACGGGGCUAAACCAUGCACCGAAGCUGCGGCAGCGACGCUGAUGCGUUGUUGGGUAGGGGAGCGUUCUGUAAGCCUGCGAAGGUGUGCUGUGAGGCAUGCUGGAGGUAUCAGAAGUGCGAAUGCUGACAUAAGUAACGAUAAAGCGGGUGAAAAGCCCGCUCGCCGGAAGACCAAGGGUUCCUGUCCAACGUUAAUCGGGGCAGGGUGAGUCGACCCCUAAGGCGAGGCCGAAAGGCGUAGUCGAUGGGAAACAGGUUAAUAUUCCUGUACUUGGUGUUACUGCGAAGGGGGGACGGAGAAGGCUAUGUUGGCCGGGCGACGGUUGUCCCGGUUUAAGCGUGUAGGCUGGUUUUCCAGGCAAAUCCGGAAAAUCAAGGCUGAGGCGUGAUGACGAGGCACUACGGUGCUGAAGCAACAAAUGCCCUGCUUCCAGGAAAAGCCUCUAAGCAUCAGGUAACAUCAAAUCGUACCCCAAACCGACACAGGUGGUCAGGUAGAGAAUACCAAGGCGCUUGAGAGAACUCGGGUGAAGGAACUAGGCAAAAUGGUGCCGUAACUUCGGGAGAAGGCACGCUGAUAUGUAGGUGAAGUCCCUCGCGGAUGGAGCUGAAAUCAGUCGAAGAUACCAGCUGGCUGCAACUGUUUAUUAAAAACACAGCACUGUGCAAACACGAAAGUGGACGUAUACGGUGUGACGCCUGCCCGGUGCCGGAAGGUUAAUUGAUGGGGUYAGCCGCAAGGCGAAGCUCUUGAUCGAAGCCCCGGUAAACGGCGGCCGUAACUAUAACGGUCCUAAGGUAGCGAAAUUCCUUGUCGGGUAAGUUCCGACCUGCACGAAUGGCGUAAUGAUGGCCAGGCUGUCUCCACCCGAGACUCAGUGAAAUUGAACUCGCUGUGAAGAUGCAGUGUACCCGCGGCAAGACGGAAAGACCCCGUGAACCUUUACUAUAGCUUGACACUGAACAUUGAGCCUUGAUGUGUAGGAUAGGUGGGAGGCUUGGAAGUGUGGACGCCAGUCUGCAUGGAGCCGACCUUGAAAUACCACCCUUUAAUGUUUGAUGUUCUAACGUUGACCCGUAAUCCGGGUUGCGGACAGUGUCUGGUGGGUAGUUUGACUGGGGCGGUCUCCUCCUAAAGAGUAACGGAGGAGCACGAAGGUUGGCUAAUCCUGGUCGGACAUCAGGAGGUUAGUGCAAUGGCAUAAGCCAGCUUGACUGCGAGCGUGACGGCGCGAGCAGGUGCGAAAGCAGGUCAUAGUGAUCCGGUGGUUCUGAAUGGAAGGGCCAUCGCUCAACGGAUAAAAGGUACUCCGGGGAUAACAGGCUGAUACCGCCCAAGAGUUCAUAUCGACGGCGGUGUUUGGCACCUCGAUGUCGGCUCAUCACAUCCUGGGGCUGAAGUAGGUCCCAAGGGUAUGGCUGUUCGCCAUUUAAAGUGGUACGCGAGCUGGGUUUAGAACGUCGUGAGACAGUUCGGUCCCUAUCUGCCGUGGGCGCUGGAGAACUGAGGGGGGCUGCUCCUAGUACGGUGGACGCAUCACUGGUGUUCGGGUUGUCAUGCCAAUGGCACUGCCCGGUAGCUAAAUGCGGAAGAGAUAAGUGCUGAAAGCAUCUAAGCACGAAACUUGCCCCGAGAUGAGUUCUCCCUGACUCCUUGA
rnacentral:rRNA from 1 species